AGAGUUUGAUCCUGGCUCAGGAUGAACGCUAGCGACAGGCUUAACACAUGCAAGUCGAGGGGCAGCGGGGGCGUAGCAAUAUGCCUGCCGGCGACCGGCGCACGGGUGAGUAACACGUAUGUAACCUGCCCUAUGCAGGGGGAUAACCCGGAGAAAUCCGGCCUAAUACCGCGUAACACCUUAGGGGAGCAUUCUCUUGAGGUUAAAGGAGAGAUCCGGCAUAGGAUGGACAUGCGUCGCAUUAGGUAGACGGCGGGGUAACGGCCCACCGUGCCGACGAUGCGUAGGGGUUCUGAGAGGAAGGCCCCCCACACUGGUACUGAGACACGGACCAGACUCCUACGGGAGGCAGCAGUGAGGAAUAUUGGUCAAUGGCCGAGAGGCUGAACCAGCCAAGUCGCGUGAGGGAAGAAUGUCCUAAGGAUUGUAAACCUCUUUUGUCGGGGAGCAAAAAGGCUCUGCGGAGUCGUAUUGAGAGUACCCGAAGAAAAAGCAUCGGCUAACUCCGUGCCAGCAGCCGCGGUAAUACGGAGGAUGCGAGCGUUAUCCGGAUUUAUUGGGUUUAAAGGGUGCGCAGGCGGCGUGUCAAGCAAGCGGUAAAAUAGCGGGGCUCAACCCCGUCGAGCCGUUUGAACUGGCGCGCUUGAGUUCAGGCGAGGUAGGCGGAAUUCGUGGUGUAGCGGUGAAAUGCAUAGAUAUCACGAAGAACUCCGAUUGCGAAGGCAGCUUACCAGUCUGCGACUGACGCUCAGGCACGAAAGUGUGGGUAUCGAACAGGAUUAGAUACCCUGGUAGUCCACACAGUAAACGAUGAGCGCUAGGUGUCCGGGUCGCAUGAGACUUGGGUGCCCGAGCGAAAGCGUUAAGCGCUCCACCUGGGGAGUACGCCGGCAACGGUGAAACUCAAAGGAAUUGACGGGGGCCCGCACAAGCGGAGGAACAUGUGGUUUAAUUCGAUGAUACGCGAGGAACCUUACCCGGGCUCAAACGACUCAGGAAUAUAUUGGAAACGAUGUAGCCAGCAAUGGUCUGAGUCGAGGUGCUGCAUGGUUGUCGUCAGCUCGUGCCGUGAGGUGUCGGCUUAAGUGCCAUAACGAGCGCAACCCCUACCGCCAGUUGCCAACGGGUAAAGCCGGGAACUCUGGCGGGACUGCCGGCGCAAGCUGUGAGGAAGGCGGGGAUGACGUCAAAUCAGCACGGCCCUUACGUCCGGGGCGACACACGUGUUACAAUGGCAGGUACAGCGGGAAGCCACCUGGUGACAGGGAGCGGAACCCGAAAGCCUGUCUCAGUUCGGAUUGGAGUCUGCAACUCGACUCCAUGAAGCUGGAUUCGCUAGUAAUCGCGCAUCAGCCAUGGCGCGGUGAAUACGUUCCCGGGCCUUGCACACACCGCCCGUCAAG
rnacentral:rRNA from 1 species